UUCUAUGAAUGUAUGGUUAUGGUUAGGGUUUUGGAUUAUGCAUAAUUUACUGUUGUUGUUAGAGUAAGUACAUGUAACAUCUGUAACAAAAUCUCCUUAAAAUACAGCUGUUGUGAAUCCUGCCCACUUCUUUGCAUGGUCAGCACAUGCUUCAGUGCUCUGAGAGUGUUUAUAGAGCUGUGAGUUUAACACUUCAUGACUGAGAGCAGAACAGAACACAAUCUUCAUCAUCACACAAGACACAACAACAACAAUGAACAACAUCAUCAUCCUCAUCUGGACCACUGCAGCUUUUAUUCAAGAAUCCAGAGGAAUCACUGUGACUCAGCCUAAAGUUAAAACUGUCCAGCUCGGUCAAACAGCUACAAUAGAGUGUAGUCUGGAUGUAGGACUAACCUCUAAUGAUUUGGCUUGGUAUCAGCAGAAACCUGGAGAAGCUCCUAAACUCCUCAUUUAUUACAUAAACAGCCUCCAGUCAGGAACUCCAUCUAGAUUCAGUGGCAGUGGAUCAAACUAUGGAAAAGAUUUCACUCUGACCAUCAGUGGAGUCCAGACUGAAGAUACAGGAGAUUAUUACUGUCAGAGUUAUCACAGUGGUGGUGUGUUCACACAGUGA